UACGUAGGGUGCGAGCGUUAAUCGGAGUUACUGGGCGUAAAGCGUGCGCAGGCGGUUUUGUAAGCCGGAUGUGAAAUCCCCGGGCUUAACCUGGGAAUGGCAUUCGGGACUGCAAGGCUGGAGUGCGGCAGAGGAGACUGGAAUUCCUGGUGUAGCAGUGAAAUGCGUAGAUAUCAGGAGGAACACCGAUGGCGAAGGCAGGUCUCUGGGCUGACACUGACGCUCAUGCACGAAAGCGUGGGGAGCAAACAGG
rnacentral:rRNA from 1 species